GGGGAUGUGGCUCAGUGGUAGAGCGCUUGCCUAGCAUGUGUGAGGCACUGGGUUUGAUUCUCAGCACCA
rnacentral:tRNA from 1 species